CCUACGGGAGGCAGCAGUAAGGAAUAUUGGUCAAUGGACGAAAGUCUGAACCAGCCAUGCCGCGUGAAGGAUUAAGGCCCUCUGGGUUGUAAACUUCUUUUAUCUGGGACGAAAAAAGGGUAUUCUUACUCACUUGACGGUACCAGAGGAAUAAGCACCGGCUAACUCCGUGCCAGCAGCCGCGGUAAUACGGAGGGUGCAAGCGUUAUCCGGAUUUACUGGGUUUAAAGGGUGCGUAGGUGGGCUUGUAAGUCAGUGGUGAAAUCUCCGGGCUUAACCCGGAAACUGCCAUUGAUACUAUAGGUCUUGAAUUAUCUGGAGGUAAGCGGAAUAUGUCAUGUAGCGGUGAAAUGCUUAGAUAUGACAUAGAACACCAAUUGCGAAGGCAGCUUACUACGGAUAUAUUGACACUGAGGCACGAAAGCGUGGGGAUCAAACAGGAUUAGAUACCCUGGUAGUCCACGCCCUAAACGAUGGAUACUCGACAUCAGCGAUACACUGUUGGUGUCUGAGCGAAAGCAUUAAGUAUCCACCUGGAAGUACGAUCGCAAGAUUGAAACUUAAAUGAAUUGACGG
rnacentral:rRNA from 1 species